rnacentral:rRNA from 1 species
GAUGAACGCUGGCGGCGUGCCUAAUACAUGCAAGUCGAACGAACAGACCAAGACCUGGCUGCUUACACGAGAGCGGAACACGGGAGAAACACACGGGUGAUACCUACCGAUCAUACUGAUAUAACUGCGAGACAGCGGAUCUUACACCAGAUAAUAUCUCCAAGCACGUGGUGCGAUAAAGAAAUAUCGGUGUGCUAUCACCUAUAGAUGGACCUGCUCGGUAUUAGCUAAAUGGCCAAGCAACGGCUCAACAAGGCAACGAUACUGAGACGGACGCUGAGACGCUGAUGCGGACCAGCACAUGACAACUGAGACUCCGUACCAGACUCCUACGGGAGGCAACAUGACGGAAGCUUCCACACCGGAUGAAAGCCUGACCGAGCAACGACGCACUGACUGAUGAAGGUCUUCUCAUCGUACUACUCUGUUAAUAGGGAAGAACAGACACGUGAAUAACAUGCGCCGUCUUGAUCCGUCCUAAUCACAAAGCCACUGCUAACUACGUGACCGCAGCCCCGAAAAUACGUACGUGGCGAGCUCUAACCUGAAUUAUCGCGCCUAAAGCGCGCGCACGCGGCUUAUUUGCUCUAAUGUGAAAGACCACGGCUCAACCUGGGAGCUGCAUUGGAGACUGGAAUACUUGAGUGCACAAGAGGAUAGCGCAAUUCCAUGUGUAACGCCGAAAUGCGCACAGAUAUCGAGGAGCACCAGCUGUGGAAAGCGACUUUCUCGGCUGUAACUGACACUCAUAUGAGAAAACGCGUGGAUCACACACGAUAAUAUACCCUGUGAGACCCCGCCCCAUACAAUGAGUGCUCUAUGUGAGAGUGCCUCCCCCCCUUACCGCGGCAUCUCUCACAUUAUACACUCCCCCUGUGGAGAACAACCGCGCGGUGGAAACUCUCAGGAGUUGAGAGGGACCCCCACACACGCUGGAGAAUGUGGUUAUAUUUCUCAACGCCGCGCAAAAACUCUUCCCAUCUUGAGAUCCUUUGACCCUCUCCGAAAAAAAAGUGUCCCCUUCUGGGGACGAAGUGCACAGGGGGUGCAGGGUUGCUCCCAUCUCGUGCCGAGAUUGUUGGGUUAAUUCCCGCACCGAGCGCACCCCUGUACUCUUAUUUGCCAUCAUUAGGUUGGGCACUCCAAGAUAACUGGCCGUGACUAACCCGAAGAAGGGGGGGAAGACCUCCAAUCCUCCUGCCCCUUAUGAUUCGGGCUACCCACCAUGCUACAAUGGACCAUGACAACGCCAACGCAACCCCGAGAUCAAGAACAUCCCAUUAUCUUGUUCUCACGUCGGACUGAUUGCUGCCUCUCGACUACAUGAAUCUGGACUCGACUCGCAAUCAUACAUCAACCUGCUACGGUGAAUACGAUCACGGCUCU